UAUGCUCAGCGGUGGGUCGGUCCCGACCCGCGACACGCAUAAGACGGCACUCACGGCAGGAAGCCGGUGGAAAUCCGGCGCGGUCCCGCCACUGUGAGCGCGGUGGCUGCCAGAAACGGCAGCGGCCGAGCGAGCCAGGAACUGCCGCCGUCUUCAACCCGCCC
rnacentral:ncRNA from 15 species